GUUUCUCCCAUAACUUGCAGGCAGAUGCAGGAGGUCUUGCAAAGGUAGCCACUUACAGUAUGAGACUCAGUCUGGAAUGUCAAAGAUAAGUGUUCACGACUCAACUGUUGCCUACGGUGCAGCCUGGGACCUUAUGGUCUGUGUUCUUCAACUCUGCCUCCUGCCGUGCCUGUUUUUUCCAGCUUGAUCUCUUGCCUGUGGUGCUCCCUGUUUCAGUUGCCGUUCUGUUAUUUGGCUGCAAUCGACAGGGUUUAUGACUGUCUUAUACGAGCCCUGAGAGACAGACUUGCUGGUGUGAAUAAUUCUCUCUCUAAGUCUCCUAAUUACUGCUAAUAUUUGUUUUGUUUUCAUAACAGCUCAGAGCCAGAUUUUCCAUGAGGAGACUGCUAAUGAUGCUACAUACCCUGAGGAGUUCAUGUGCAUGCUUUCCUGCUGUGUCAACUUUUUGCUUCAUUCUUGAGUGAAUAUAUCCUGCACCUGGAGAAGAAAUAGAUAAGAAACUGGGAAAGAACUAAGGAAGAAGAGACAGAACUACAAACCCAGAGAGUUCAAGGAUGGAUCCCACCCUGAGGGAUGAAUCUCCUUCCAGGUUGUGUUUAUAACUUUGGAAUUGGUAAGAAAAGUAGACUUCAGGAACACUUAGCUGGAAUCAGGGACUCUGGAGUGAUCUGUAAUAUCUUGGGUUUCCCUGGGGAGAAUAAGGCAGAAGAUUCCAGGAGGAAUAUCCAUCAAAGAGACAAAAACGGCAUGUAUCUGUAUCUCAUACUGCUUCAAUUGAUUCAGUACAAGCUGAAAACUCGAAGAGUUGGGUAA
rnacentral:lncRNA from 1 species